GGGGGCGAGGCGCUAGUCGGCUUUGCUUCCCGUCCCCCUCAAUUGGCCGCUAGCUCUGUUUUGACUGCCUGUACAAAGCAAGCAGACGACGGGGGAGGGGGCGGUUAGGGACCGGAUUUGGGAAAGGAGGCAUCAGCCCCUUCCACUCCCCCUCGGCCCUCGCUGGGCCGCGGACAAGGGGCCAGGGUCUCUAAACGCGUUUGCUUGGCUAGAUCCGCAGCUGAACUUCCCACCGGGCAGAGGCCACAAGGUUGAGGAUGAGAAUGGGUCCUCCCGCAGAAACUCAGAUCAAGACCCGGGGUGGGGGGAUUCGCAGCCAAGCAGGAAUAGAGGCUCGAGCGGGAGUUGGCUGCAACCUCAAUCUGAGAAGGCCGGGCCUUCCCUAUCGCCCUCCUACCCUCACCUCCCCACCCGGAGCGGCGUCAGUCUUCGGGACCGGAGAGGGGCUGGGCGUUUCCUGAUUGAAAUGCGCCCUCGGCCUCCAAGAGGGAGCUCGGGCGGCCGCGGGGGUCCAGGCAGAGUGCAGGCGCCGCGGUCGCCAGGAGUCCGCGCAGGGGGUGUGCUCCUGGCGGAGCCUGGGAAGGUCUCUGCCCGGGUUUGCAGCCAGAGCCUCUGAAAUGUUGGGGUUGGGGGGGUGCGCAGGGCAGGUAAAUGGGUCUUGGGGCAUAUCCUUAGUUCCUGGCUUGGACUCCUGAUUAAUGAUUAAACCCUAGCAAUUGGUACAUCCAGGCUGGCGACUUGCCCUCUGAACCCUUAGAGCUGCCUCUGCCAUCAUCUGCCUUUGGGGUCUUCCUUCGUGGCCCUGCUUUCCUGAGGUCUCUGGGAAUCCUAGUCGUUUCUCAGUCCGUGGCAUUUCAUAAUUAAAAAUCAAACACCCUUGAAAACUAGGACUGACCAUCCACGCACAAUUUAGAAAACAAUACAAGAGAGCAGUGUCUGGAUUAUUCAGGCCUAGACAACUUUGCUUUAAAGAUACAUGUACAGAAAAAGAUUUUUUUCCUGGCCGGAAUUGCCCAGAUGUGCUAUUUGGCAGCCAAAACUCUCUGAGAACUGGCAUACCUCCCUCCUUUAUUUUCCCAACCUAGUCAGACAAAGAGUCUUAAGGUAGUAGCCCUUCUUACAAUAUUCUGGUAAGGCGUAAGAAAAAAUAGGAGUCACAUAAUUUCAUGUGGGACACCAAUUUGUUCAAAUCCAAAGAAAUUAAAGACAGCAGUAGAGGUACUUGUUAUGCAUUAUGCUUCGAGGAAAUUUUUAAAAAGUUAACUAAAAGAGCUAAAUAAAGUAACUAUCUCCUGAGUUAAAGCAGUGUUUCAAUCAUAGACUUUAAAACAUUUAAGCCAUAAAAUGGGCUUUCAUUUAAUACUUAAAUGGCUUCAUCGUUCAGUCCUGUCAAUCACAUCAAAUCCAAAUGUUCUCAGAUUGCGUAUGUGUUUAUCCUUUGACUCAACAAUUCCACUUUUAGAAAUCUGUUUAAAAGAUACACAGGCAAAAAAAAAAAUGAAAUGAUGAAUGUGUUAGUCUGUUUAUUGCAGCACUAUUUGUAAUAGCAAAAGAUUAAAAACAUAAAUUCCCCAUCAAUAAGGAACUGGUUGAAUAUAGCUUAAUCCAUUCAGUGGAAUACUAUUCAACUGUAAAAAAUGAAUGGCGAUCUCUCUCUCUACUCCUGUGGAGUGAUCUCCAGAAUACACGAUUCAACUGAAAAAAAACGAGGUGCAGAGAGAAUAGGCAAAUCCAUUGAGACAGAAAGAAGAAUAAAGGUUACUAAGGGCUGGCAGUGCAAGGGAAUGAGGAAUUAUUGUUAGAUGAGUACAGAGUUUUUGUUUAGGAUAAUGAAAAAGUUCUGGAAAUUAAUUGUGAUAGUUGCACAACAUUGUGAAUGUACUUAAUGCCACUGAAUUGUAUACUUAUAUAUAGUUAAAAUGGUAAUUUUUAUGUAUAUUUUACCACAAUAAAAAAAUUUAAUGCUGGGGCCGGCUGGAUGGCACAGCGGCUAAGUGCGCACGUUCCAGUUCAGCGGCCGGGGUUCACCGGUUGGGAUCCCAGGUGCAGACAUGGCACCGCUUGACAAGCCAUGUAGUAGGCAUCCCACAUAUAAAGUAGAGGAAGAUGGUCACGGAUGUUAGCUCGGGCCAGCCUUCCUCUGCAAAAAGAGGGGGAUUGGUGGCAGUUAGCUGAGGGCUAAUCUUCCUCAAAAAAAAAAAAUUAAUGCAAGGUGCAGGAUAUUGUGCAUUCUAUGCUAACUUUUGGGGCAUGUGUAUGUGCAUUUUCUAGAAAUGGAAGUAUAAAUUAAUAGAAAUGAUUAUCUUAGGAUAGAGAGAGGAUAUGGAGGAAGAGACAAUGAUGGAAGCUAGACCUUUCUAAAUAUGGCUUGUUUUAUAGCUCUAACUUUGGAACCAUGUAUAUUUUACAUAAUUAAAAACAAUUAAAUUUUAAAAGAACAAUGCAUAAAAAUUGAAAACUAAAACAAAUGAACCUAUUUAUCACAUUGGUGGCAUAACCAGAGAGAAUAAUUAUUUAAAGUGAUAUGUAAACACACUAUUUGGACUGUAGAUCUUUAGUAGGCUAUAACCUAAGGGUGAAAGGAAUCACAAAGAAGUUUGAAAUUGCAUUCAAUGGUGGUAACAUGAGAGAGAGAGAGAAGGAGAUAGAUACUAAAAAUCAUGAUUUCAGCCUAAACAAAAAGAGAUUAAAUAUAAAAUAAAAAUGUUGUAAGCUUCGAGUUAAAAAGCCAAUAUGAAAUCAGAACUUAUCUUUAUCUUAAAAAAAAAUGCAUUUCCUGGUCCUACACAUCAAAAAGACCUGGAAGUAGUGAUAACCCAACAAUAAUAAACACUCAUUGUGCCCAUAUUGUGGUCUCUAAAUACCAUUUCCCAGUAAAAGGAAUGUGAGCUCCUUGGGUAAGUGUCUAAUUUCAGGUCUGGAGCAGGAAAUAUGUAAGAUGAGUCUGGACUGUCUUGUCUUACUUGAAAGCAAGGAGGUUAUCAGACUAUUAGGGUCAAGUCAAAAGGAAACUGAAGCUAACUUGGAAAAGAUCUCACUAACCGAAGAUGAGAAAAUUUGAGUGUCAAAAAGAAAAAUGACUGCAAUGGAUUGAAAUGUAUGAAUUGUGUAAAAAUUUAAGAGUUCCAAAUGAUACUCCAAAGAAAAAUUAAUUUGUUAUUUUUGUAGGUUGUGAGGGCGCAGCUUAUUAUUUUAGAAACACCGAUCAAUAAAAUAAUCAAACACUUAUCCUGUCUGCUGGACAGACUCAGAGAAAGUAUUUCUUAAAAAAAAAAAAAAAUCACAGUUGCAAAUGCAGGAAUGAUAGAAUUAGAAAAAUCAUGAUUUUGCAAACUAAUGAAAUAAUGGACCCAGGCAACAGUUACCAAUGACUGCUAAAUCCAGUAAGUUAGGGAUUCUCAAUUGGGGGUCAUUUGGCAAUAUCUGGAGAUAUUUUUUUAUUGUCACAACAAGUUGGUAUAUAUGUGGCAACAGGGUUGAGGGUACCAGGGAAGCUGCUAAAUAUCCUACAAUGCACAGGACAGUCCCCCAUAACAAAGUAUUAUCUAGUCCUAAACAUCAAUUUAUUUGAGAAACCCUGCAUUAGGUUAACAGUCAAUGGAGGACUUUUUAAUGAAUGAUUCAAAUUGUUACCACUGGAACCUACUGUUUAAUUAGCUUCUCAAAAGCAGCACAACUAGAUAUUUUGUGUCUGCUUAAGUGAUACAAUUGGAAGCACACAGAAUCGCCAAUGAAAUAUUUUUCUCAAAAAAAUUGAAGCUGAAUGUAAUAAUAUCUCUAAAUUUAACUCCCAGUUCUAGGAACUAUGUACGGUAGUGAAACUUAUUAAAUGAUACCUCAAGAAUACAGUUAACCAGAUCUAGAACAUGGGAAGCACCACAGGACCAAUUUUCUUCAAAUAAAUGACAUGAGUAAAGGAAAAGAAGGCAAACUGUUUUGGUCCAACAGCAAAAUGCAAUGUUUAUACCUUACCUGAGAUUUUGAUUUGAACACAGGUGUAAAUUGACAUUUUUGAGGCAAUGGGGGGGUAUUGAAAGCUGAUUAUUAGAUAUUAAAGAUUUAUUUUCAGUUUGGGGGUGUGCGACAAUGGUAUCAUGAUUAUUUAAAUGUGAUCCAAAGUCUCAUCAUAUAGCAUCGAAAAUGUCUAGGAUUCAAUUAAAAAUUACUCCUCACACCAAAAAACAAGGAAAUGUCAAUUUAAAUGAGAAAAGAAAAUAAAUGCCCACCCAGCGACACUGAGAUGACAGAGGUGUCAGAAUUAUCUGGUGUGAUUUUAAGGCAGCCAUGAUGAAAAUACUUCAAUGAGCAUUUGUGAAUAUGCUUGAAACAAAAAAAUAAAAAACCUCAGCAAGGAAAGAGAAGACAUAAAGAAGAAGUAAAUGGUGGCCAGCCCAGUGGUGUAGUGGUUAAGUUCUCAUGUGCUCAACUUCAGCGGCUUGGGGUUUGUGGGUUCGGAUCCUGGGUGCAGACCUAUAUCAAGCCCUGCUGUGGGAGCAUCCCACAUACAAAAUAGAGGAGAAUUGGCAUAGAUGUUAGCUCAAGAACAAUCAUCCUCAAGCAAAAAGAGGAAGAUUGGCAACAGAUGUUAGCUCAGGACCAAUUUUCCUCACCAAAAAAAAGAAGAAGAAGAACUAAAUGGAAAUUUUAUAAGUGAAAAAUACAAUAAUCAAAAUUAUAAAGCUUAAUGGAUGGACUUAGCAAAAUGGAGAGGACAGAGGAAAAAAAAUCAACGAAUUUGAAGGUAGAAUAAUAGAAAUUACCCAGACUGAGCAGCAAAGAAAAUAGAUUGAAAAAGCAAACAACCAGAGUUUCAGGAACUUGUAAGACUAUAACCAAAAAAAUCUAACAUUUGGUCAUCAGAAUCUCAGAAGAAGAGGAGAAAGAGGGUAGAGCUGCUGAAAAACUACUUGAAGAAAUAAUGGCUGAAAAUUUGCCAAACUUAGCGAAAGACAUAAACACACAGAUUCAAGAGGCUGAGUGAACCUUGAACAGUGUAAACCCACAGGAAUCCACAUCAAUGUUCAUUACAGUCGAAUUUAUGAAUAUUAAAGAUGAAGAAAUCAGCAAGAAAGAUGACACCAUAGUGGUAGAGGAAAACAGUUCAAAUGACAGCAAGUUUCCCAUCAGAAAUUGGGGAGGCCACAAGGAAGUGGCACACAUUUCUCGAGUUCUGAUAGAAAAGAAUUGCCAAUACAGAAAUUCUAUCCCCAGUGAAAAUAUCCCUCAGGAAUGAAGGGGAAAUCAAGAUAUUCUCAGAUGAAGGAAACGAAGAGGAUUUGUCACAAGCAGAUCUACCCUAAAAUAAUGACUAAGGAAAGUUUUCUAAAUAGAGAGGAAAUGUGUAUGGUGUAAGAUAAUGGUCUAUAACAAAAGGGAACUCGGAACAUCAGGAAGGAGGAACAACAAAAAGAGUGAAAAUAUUGAAUAAUAUGGGUAAAUACAAUAGACUUUACUUCUCUUGAUUUUCUGAAUUAUGCUUGAUGGUUAAAGCAAAAACUAUAAUAUUGUCUUAUGUGCUCCUCAGUGUAUGUAGCAGAAAUAUUUACCACAAUUAUAUUAUAGAGGAGAGAAAGGCUCAUAAAGGGCGGUGGGGUUCUACACUGGUAAAAUGUUGAUACUGGUAGACUGUGAUAACUUAAAGGGGUAGCACAGGGAGACUUUUGUGGUGAGAGAAUCGUUCCCUAGCUGAUCAGUGGUAUUUAUCCAAAUCUACACAUGGUAAAAUGGCAUAGAAUUAUGCAUACACAUUGUACCAAUGUCAAUAUCCUGCAUUUUAUAUCAUACUAUAGCUACAUAAGAAGUAACCUUUGGGGGAAACUGGUGAAAGCUUAACAAAACCUCUCUGUACUUCCUUUUUUUAAUCUUUUUCUUUUUUGAGGUAACAUCGGUUUAUAACAUUAUAUAAAUUUCAGGUGUACAUGAUUAUAUUUCAAUUUCUCUGUAGACUAUAUCAUGUUCACCACUCUAAGACUAGUUAUCAUCCUUCUCCAUACACAUAGGCCCUAUUACUCCUUUCCCACUCCUCCCUCGCUCCUUCCUCUCUGGUAACUACCAAUCUAAUCUCUGUAUCUGUGUGUUUGUUGUUGUUUUUAUCUUCCACAAAUGAGUGAAAUCAUAUGGUAUUUGACUAUCUCCAUCUGAUUUAUUUCACUUAGCAUAAUACCCUUAAGGUCUAUCCAUAUUGUUGCAAAUGAAGAGAUUUCAUCUUUUUUAUGGCUGACUAGUAUUCCAUUGUGUAUAUAUGCCACACCUUCUUCAUCCAUUUAUCUGUAGAAGGGCACUUGGGUUGCUUCCACAUCUUGGCUAUUGUGAAUAAUGCUUCAAUGAGCAUAGGAGUGCAGAUAUCUUUCCACAUUCGUGUUUUUGUGUUCUUUGGGUAAAUACCCAGAAGUAGAAUAGCUGGAUCAUAUGGUAGUUCGAUUUUUUAUUUUUUGAGCACUCUCCAUACUGUUUUCACUGUUGGCUGCAUCAGUUUAUAUUCCCACCAGCAGUCUAUGAGGGUUCCCUUUUCGUCAUAUCCUCUCCAACACUUACUAAUUCUUGUCUGGUUAAUUAUAGCCAUUCUGACAGGCAUGAG
ensembl:lncRNA